GACGCAGGGCGCGAGCGUUGUCCGGAUUUAUUGGGCGUAAAGAGCUCGUAGGCGGCUUGUUGCGUCGACCGUGAAAACCCGGGGCUCAACUUCGGGCUUGCGGUCGAUACGGGCGGGCUAGAGUUCGGUAGGGGAGACUGGAAUUCCUGGUGUAGCGGUGAAAUGCGCAGAUAUCAGGAGGAACACCGGUGGCGAAGGCGGGUCUCUGGGCCGAUACUGACGCUGAGGAGCGAAAGCGUGGGGAGCGAACAGG
rnacentral:rRNA from 1 species